rnacentral:rRNA from 1 species
GAUGAACGCUGGCGGCGUGCCUAAUACAUGCAAGUCGAGCGAACAGAUGAGGAGCUUGCUCCUCUGACGUUAGCGGCGGACGGGUGAGUAACACGUGGAUAACCUACCUAUAAGACUGGGAUAACUUCGGGAAACCGGAGCUAAUACCGGAUAAUAUACUGAACCGCAUGGUUCAAUAGUGAAAGACGGUUUUGCUGUCACUUAUAGAUGGAUCCGCGCCGCAUUAGCUAGUUGGUAAGGUAACGGCUUACCAAGGCAACGAUGCGUAACCGACCUGAGAGGGUGAUCGGGCACACUGGAACUGAGACACGGUCCAGACUCCUACGGGAGGCAGCAGUAGGGAAUCUUCCGCAAUGGGCGAAAGCCUGACGGAGCAACGCCGCGUGAGUGAUGAAGGUCUUCGGAUCGUAAAACUCUGUUAUUAGGGAAGAACAAAUGUGUAAGUAACUAUGCACGUCUUGACGGUACCUAAUCAGAAAGCCACGGCUAACUACGUG